GACGAACGCUGGCGGCGUGCCUAAUACAUGCAAGUCGAACGCAGUGGGGAUGGGUGAGUAACACGUGGGUAACCUCCCAUCAGAGUGGAUAACACUUGGAAACAGGUGCUAAACCGAUACUGAUGGAUGGACCCGCGGUGCAUUAGCUAGUUGGUGAGGUAACGGCUCACCCAGUCCACGAUGCAUAGCCGGCCGGAAGGGGUGAUCGGCCACACUGGAACUGAGAAAAGGCCAAGACUCCUACGGAAGGCAGAGGUGGGGAGUGUUCGGCAAUGGACGAAAGGCGAACCGAGCAACACCGAGUGGGUAAAGAAGGUUUUCGGAUCGUAAGACUCUGUUGUUAGAGAAGCGGUAUCUAACCAGAAAGCCACGGCUAACUACGUGCCAGCAGCCGCGGUAAUUC
rnacentral:rRNA from 1 species